UUUUUUUUUUCCACCUUAAAAAGACCAUAGUUUCUACAGAAACUUCAAAAUAUUUCAGAUGCUGGCAAUCUUACUGUUUUGGGCAAAGACCUAUCUUUAUAUUUGAUAAAGACUGUAUGUAUGCUUUCCCACUCUGGUAGUACCACAAUGAUGUUCGGGCAUGAUGUUUAUGUUUGCUUUGCUGCUUUCUGUUGCCUAUCCAGGACUUUUGCCUUUCUUUGAAAUGCUGAAAAAAAUGGUGGGAACCAUCAGCAAUGGGAUCUCAGUCUAUAAUCAGUUCUCUCAUAAUUUUAUCUUUUCUUGUUAACAAAAAAAUGCAAAAAACAAAGAAAACAAAGAGACUUAGUGUUGGGGUCUGCCAUGAAUACUAAAGUGGCCUGGGGGUGUGGCUCAUCAAGUGAAAAUAAACUAUUCAAGUCACCCACAUCAAGGAGAAAGUUUGGGAACAACUAGGCCAGUGUUUGCACUGGGGGCCUUGGAGUCAGGAGAGUUACAUUUCUCUUCACUCUGCUCAACCAAUACAGCAAAGACAACCUACUUAACCUUUCCUUUUGGAAAUAUUAAGUAAUCUCCAAAGAACAGCCCUGAGAGAUAUGCUAAAGUAUGUCUGGUCAGAUUUUCUGAUUCUAACUUGCUACUUCCAAAAUCAGCUUAAUUUUAGCGUUAAUCUAUAUAAGAGAGAUGUGGGUGGGAGGGCAGGAAGGUUAUCUUAAGCAAAGUUAACUGCCUUGGCCAAGAGCAAGGUUAUAAUAAGGGAAUAGGCAUGAAAAUUACAUACCUAGUUAACUUUUAGUGAAUGAAGGAGAGGUGGAAACUAGUACCAAAUGACAAUUUAAUUAAGGCUUCCAGAGUGAAUUGACACAAUGAACGAAAGUCUAAUAUUGUACAAUAAACCUUAACUAAGGAAUGAUGAUGGCAGUGCUCAGAAGCUCCACACAACUAGUGUUCAAUUAAGGCGGUUAAAAUCACACCCCAAGGAUUUCACUGUUCGGACUGGCUCUGAAAUGUAAAUAAAUACAGCCAUUUUAUAAAGAAAAUAACAGGUAUACUUUAGCAUCCCCUCUUAAUGUAUUAUUAUGAUUAGAAAAAAAUUUUAAUCACAUUAUUUAUUAAAUAAGCUGGCAUUCUAAAUAAACAGCCUGAAGUCUCCUGUUUAAAGAAAAAUUACUCCUAUUUAUUCAUUAACAAAGCUAUUCCUUAGCUCAUCCCUGCCAUAACCUACUCUAUUCAAAACCAUAUGGGAAAGGACAUUAAAAAACCGCCACAAACCAUGGACUUCUGGUAUUAGUGCUACACACUGCAUACCCCUAUUCAUUAUUCUACCUCCCUUGUUUAAUCUAUCAUUAAGAUUCAGUGACCCUACACUAAAUUUAAAGCAGAUCCUUCCUUCCUCCCAUGCCUAAAUUCACAUACUUUUCUAGUUGGGGAUGCCCUCAAGUAUUAACAACUCUACGGGGUUUCUCUAAUCUCAGCUCUGAACUAUGUCAUGCUAUAGAACCAAGAAAUUGCUGUUUUACAUCUCUAACUAUGAAGGCUUCCUAAAAAAGGACCAUAUAAUUUACUUAAUAAGAUAAAGGGGGAAAAAAAUCACCAUUUAAUAAGUAUUUUUUUCAUUGUAUAUGGUAAAAGAGGCACAUGGAGACAUUAUCAUACACUGCGUUGUCUUAAAAGUGAGUAAUGUGUAAAGGCAUUACUUCAACUGUAUUCGUCACAGGAUUUAGAGUUUUAAAUAAUGAUUAAAAAUGUCAGGUGUUGACUAUCCUGAUAAAUGGAAAAAAGGAACAUGUUGAUUUAAAUACACAGUUGAUAAAAUAACCAUUUUUGGGAAAAGAGAUUUCAAGACGUUAAGACAGGUAGUAUUUUUAGGACAUAAAAAAUAAUUUCAAACGUUAUUUUAAUUAAAUUGCCAUAUGUGGCUAGCAGCUACUCUAUUAGUGGAUUAGGAUUAAGAAAGCAGAGAAUGUAGAGCAACAACAAAAAAAUACCAUUAAUACUUACUAUACUAUGCACACACACACACGCACACACACAUGUAUAUAUACUAUAUAUACAUACUAUAUACUUAAACAUGCUUCAUCUCAUUCUUAUUUCUUUAUAGUCCUUGAGACAUAAAGAAGUCCUUUAGACACUGUGCUAAAUUAAUUUUUCAUACCAAAGAUUUCAUUUUUUAAAUUAUAAAGUAUAGUUGAUUUACAAUGCUGUGUCAAUUUCUGCUAUACAGUAAAGUGACACAGUCAUACAUAUAUAUAUAUACAUUCUUUUUCUUAUAUUAUCUUCCAUUAUGGUCUAUCCCAAGAGAAUGGAUAUAGUUCCCUGUGCUAUAGGGUAGGACCUCAUUGCUUAUCCAUUCUAAAUGUAAGUUUGUAUCUACUAACCCCAAACUCCCAGUCCAUUCCACUCCCUCUCUCUCCCUCUUUUACUGUUUUUAAUGUUAAAGUAGUCUGAUAAGUAUGAAUAGGAACUAUAUGCAUUAGUAUCCCAAAAUUGAAGAAACAGUAAUAGAAUACAUAUAAUGAUAUCUAACUUGAAAAAAGGAGCAAUAAUGAAGUAUAUUAUAAUAAUUAAAUAUUCAAGAUAGUAAAAUAUUCUUAAGUUAAAAAUGUAAAUUUAGGAGUUCCCAUCAUGGCGCAGCAGAAACGAAUCUGACUAGGAACCAUGAAACUGCAAGUUCAAUCCCUGGCCUCGCUCAGUGGCUUAAGGAUCUGGCAUUGCCAUGAGCUGUGGUAUAUAGGUCUCAGACAUGGCUUGGAUCCUUCAUUGCUGUGGCUGAGGUGCAGGUCCAAUUCGAAAGCUCUGCUUUCACGGAGCUUACAUUCAUUCUACAGUAGGUGUAUGGUGGGGAGAGGGGUAAGAAAGACAGAAAAGAAAUGUGAAUAUGUAAACAAGAUAAUUUCAAAAUUAGAUCAAAGUUCCAAGAAGGGUGAUAUUAGACUCUUCCCAGUCAUUCUCUACUUUGGAUGGGUGGAAUCCUAAAUGAGAAGGUACAAAUCCCAGAUUGGGUCACUUUGCUGUAUAGCAGUAACUGACAGAACACUGUAAAUCAACCAUACUAAAAAAAGUUUAACAAAACUUCAAUGCCACUUUUAUUCUUUCUUUACAGAAAAUGCAACUGAGGGUUCAAACUCUUCAAGUAAGUAGCAAAAGCAGGAUUCAAAAGGAUAUUUAUGGACUCUGAGGCACUUUCUCUUUUUAACUGUAUCAUGAAACUUCCCCAAAAACUUAAACUCAAAAAAAGUAGAUCAUUACCCAGCCCUGAUUCCUUGCCAAAGAAACAUUACCCACAUCUUUCACUUACUUGGCUAACUCUUCCUUCACAGAUCUGGGACAUGCAUUAGUUCAACUAGACAUAAUAAUCAUAAAUCCCAAAUUAAUGUCAGGUACAAAUUAAUAAAGUUUAUUGUACUAAUAGCUAACUCAAAGGGAUAUUUCAGAGUUCUGAUCAAAGAUAGGCUGUCUUCAAACACAGUUGGGUGUUGUUUGUGUUUUUGCUCAAGUGAAUAGAUAUUGUCAUGCAUUCCAAAAUAAAUGGCAAGUGCAUUUGAUCAUAUUUUAUUUUUGUCAUGUUCACUGCAUUACACCAGUAGUGAACAAAUUUGAGGAUGUCUAUUUCUUGAAAAUGUGGCAGCCUGGUAAUCACAUCCAAUGAAAGCCAGUUAUUUCAGAACAUCAUUCUCCCCCCACCCCGCACUACCAUUCCUUCCUCAUGCAAUAUACUGAAAAAAGAUGAUGGGAAGAGCUGUUAUUAAAGCACGGCUAGAGGAGUUCUUGUCAUGGCUCAGCGGAAACGAAUCUGACUAGUAUCCACGAAGAUGUAGGUUCCAUCCCUGGCCUUGCUCAGUGUGUUAAAGAUCUGGCAUUGCCAUGAGCUGUGGCGUAGGUCAUAGACUCAGCUCAGAUCCUGCAUUGCUGUGGCUGUGGCUGUGCUGAAGGCCUGCAGCUACAGCUCCAAUUCGAACCCUAACCUGGGAACCUCCAUAUGCUGUGGGUGCAGCC
rnacentral:lncRNA from 1 species